UACGGGGGGAGCAAGCGUUGUUCGGAUUUACUGGGCGUAAAGGGCGGGUAGGCGGCCACCGCAAGUCAGUUGUGAAGUCUCCGGGCUUAACCCGGAAAGGUCAACUGAUACUGCGGGGCUAGAGUGCAGAAGGGGCAACUGGAAUUCUCGGUGUAGCGGUGAAAUGCGUAGAUAUCGAGAGGAACACCUGCGGCGAAGGCGGGUUGCUGGGCUGACACUGACGCUGAACUGCGAAAGCUAGGGGAGCGAACGGG
rnacentral:rRNA from 1 species